UCGUCGCCUUCGGAUAACACGACCCGCGAACGCGUAACAUAAAGUUGUCGGGUUGGAGCAGUCCUUCUCGGCCCCGCCGGCCUCGGCCCCUCGGUGCUCGGGUGCGAGCCCGUGCAUUGUCGGUCGGGCGUCGGAAAACGGCGCUGGAUGUCGCCAAGGAACAUGAAAUUGCUGAGGCGGAUGUUUGUGAUCUGUCGAGGCUAAGGAAAC
rnacentral:misc_RNA from 1 species